UGCCCGCCCCGGGGGCUUGAGCUGGGCCCGGGGGCGCGCACGGCUUUUGCCCCCGCGCGGCUCCCUGAUCUGUAAUGUAGACACUUGCUCGCUUGCUGUAAUAGCUCUUGUAUUUUUAAUGGGAACUGAUGGACCUGUGAAGGUAUUAGAAAUGUUUCUUUUCCCGGUUUUCGUUUUCUUUGGUAAUAAUAACGUGGGCUGAGAAGCUCGCGGUACGUUUCGGAGCCGAAGUGCUGGGUAGUCGCAGGAGUUUCCGCAAGAACUUGCUGCUUCGUACGCCAUGUCCGCGUCGGGCGGGCGGAGUGGCGCGGACAGGCGUUGGACCCCGGCGGCGCGUGGUCCCCUGGCAGGGAAGGGGCUCCAGAGCACCGCUGCGAGGAGAGAGCCCGCAGGGGAGAGCGACGGGCCGAGCGACGCUCCUCGGCCUGUUUCYGAAGCCGUAGCGUGUUUUCUUGUUUCUCUCGUCGUCCGUGGGGAAGAUGCUGGGGACGAGCGCAGGGAAGGCCGGAUGCAGGGACGUGGCGUUUGGAGGAGGAGAAGGCGCCUGCCUUUGCGGCCUGCUCUUGCAGCCGGCAGCCGCUUUGUGCCGAGCCUAGGUACAAACCGUCUCCGCUGCCUCGGGGGCACAGCGCCCAGUCUGGGAAGACCUGCCAGAUAGUAAAACUGAAACUCGGAGAGUUAGAUAUGGUCAUAUGCAGCUCGAUCAUUGAAGUGGGAAUAGCGGAUGAUUUGCCAUCAUGUUCAGCAGCAGACCAGCUCUGUCUCAGAGUGAAUCACUGGGAGGCUGAGAAGAGCCCCAGGAGCUCCUGACUCAUGGCCCCGUGUUCCUCACCACACGGUCGUAUCCCAGCUCAGAAAUCUCAUUGAUCAUUGAAAUUACAAAAGCUGUCGUAUGCGAGGAGCACAAAAACACUCACACUUGCAGAUUCUGAAGUUGGAAGUUUGCGUCAUGAGAGCCUUGGUGUUUGCUGUGCGUUGUCCCUCCCUGCUCAGACCUUCAGCACUGUUUUGCCUGGUUAUGUAUACUCAGUGCUUAGCACAGUGGAGCCUGGACUGUGCGUGGCCUUCAGAUAGAGCUGCGACUGAAGUGCUGAACAACCAGUAAUGACCCCAAAGGYAAAUUGCGCAGGCUAAAUUUAAAUGUUGUGUAGAAAUGUGUUAUACAAAGUGGCUGUCAGUGCAUGAACCCAUUUUAUUUGUAGGCUCUGUGUUUGUGUUUGUACUAAGCUUUGGCAGUUGUCUGUUCAUCUUAGUACUGUC
rnacentral:lncRNA from 1 species